rnacentral:lncRNA from 1 species
UGAAGGAAGGGGUUGUUGUUUUAAAAUAUUUGAAAGCAGAGAUGGUACAAUGUGGAUGUAUAUGUUAAGAGAAGGUACUUAGGACUAUUGGAUGUUGUUAGCACCAGAAAGCUUAAAAAAAAACACAAACCUAUAUUUUCACUUAAAUGUAGGAUUAGUUUUUCUAAAAAAAAUUUCAGUCUUUCAGUUCGGGUUUUUUAUUACUUAUUUUAAAGAAGUGAAUUGGGUACCAGAGGAUUAAACAUAGGCAAGGAGGACUGCUAGAAUCAACUCCGUUUUUGUCAUCUCCAUUAUCUUCAUCAUUUAUUUUUCUUCUUCCCCCUUCUCGCUUUUGACCUUCCCCUCUUCUUCUUUCUUUUUUCUACCUGUGACCCUUUGUCAGAGACAUCGUUUAGUUUGUAAACAUAGCCAUUGCACAUUUUCCUUUCAGCACUGAGGCCUUCUUUUCUCAAGGUCCCAGUUUCUUUCGCGUGGGUGAUGAUUAGGCCAGGAUGUGUUCAUUUGAUGGUGAGGGGUUGCUCAGGCCAAAACAGGAAGGACCACUUGGGUGGGUA